GGAAGGAGGGAGGGAAAUGAGGAAAGAGAGAAAAGAGGUGGGGCUGGGGAGGCACUCUCUUCUCUGCAGAGCCUCCAGGUCACACCCCAAUGCCAUUCAUCUCUGAACUCUUGCCACCAACCACUCAGUGAGAUGGAAUUAAUGAGCAAAUUACCAGUGAGCUCACAUUCCCAGGUCAUCUUUUCCUCCUGAGCUAAAUGUUUUCCUCCUGUCCUCUUUAGCAGCACCCAAGGAGCCAUGUCACCUCUGGGCCUAGGGAGGAAAGUUCCAGGGAACAAGCAGGUUCUAGAAAGACCAUUAUGGGCUCAGGGCAAUAUGCCUCCCCUUUUCCCUCCCUUAAGCCUCAAGAGCCAUUCUCCUGUCUCCUGACAAGCUGCCGUCUGUCUCUGAGAAACAUGCCCUUCUUUUAGAUCAAUAACGAGCUUGUGCCUCUUUAUUCAGGAGCAAAAACAAAAUGUUCUGUAUUUAAAAAGCAGACAAGAGUCAGAGGCUCUCCCAUAAUACUUAGCCCCAAGUGAAGAGCCAGGAUAGGUUGACUCCAUGAAAAACAGAUGCCCAGUAAACUUGAAUUUCAGAUAUACAGCAAAUAAUUUAGAAGUAUAGUGUGUCACAAACAUAUAACAUACCUAUAUUUUAAAAAAUAUUCCCUGAUUAUCUGAAAUUAAUGGUUUAACCUGGACAUCUGGUGCCUUUAUUUGCCAAAUCUGACAACCCUAAUCAGGGCAAUGUCUUCCCAGCCAAGUGGGACCUGUCCUUGGCUCACCCUGGAUGUCUCACGGUCCUGAGCUCCUGCCAAAGGCCUCUUUGCAUCCCACCUUCAUCUCUUCCCUCCAUCCUUCUCAUCCUAAUUCACUUUCUUAAAGAGUUUGGGAUUUUGCCCUCCUUCCUUCCUGUCUUCUUUAUCUCUCCCUUCUUCCCUUCUUUCUUCUAUUUUUGGUUUUAUUGUUAUUUGUCUGUCUGUCUGUCUAUUUGCAGUACUAGGGGUCAAACCCAGGCUCUGGAGUUAACUAAGCAAGCAUUCUACAGAGCUACAUCCUCAGCUCCUCUACUCUCUCAGCUUCCCUUAUUCCUUUUAAGGUUCAGCUAUUUUAUGUUUGAAUGUUUUGCCUACGUGUCUGUCUGUGCACCACAUGCAUACCUGGUAUUUGCAGAGGAAAGAAAGAAGGAAAAGGAAGGAAGGGAGGGAGGGAGGGAGGGAGGGAGGGAGGGAGGAAGGAAGGAAGGAAGGAAGGAAGGAAGGAAGGAAGGAAGGAAGGAAGGAAGGGAAAGAGAAAAAAGAAAGAGAAGAAAAAGAAGAAAAGUGCUGAAUCCGUGGAUCUAGUUAUGGCUGUGAAUAACCAUGUAGAUGCUUGGGAUUCAACCACAGGUCCUCUGGAACAGCAGGAAAUGCUUUUAAACACACCAAGCUAUCACCCGAGGCCCCAGCCCUGUGGUUUUUAAGACAAGGUCUGGCUAUGAAAGACCUUGCUUUUACCUGCCACGUGCUGAUGCUCCAAGCUAUACUGCCCCACAAGACCCAGCCCCUCCAUUCAUUUUACUAAAUGUUUCCAGCCUCCUGACACCCUUUCCAGGAGCUGUGUACACGAGAUGACAAAUCAGAUAUGGUCCCUGAUCUUGAAGAGCUGACGCCCUGGGGUUGGAGGAGAGAUGACAUAGACAAGGGAGUAUGAAAGAAAGUGGAAAGCGAAUGCAUUAAAGUCCAAUGGCUCAAUGUAGAAUGGAGGAGUGCAUAGGAGUUCCUAGCCUUGUCAAAGUGUCCAGAUUUGAAUCUCUCCACACCUCAAUUUUCUAAUCUGUAAAAUGAGCUGAUCCGAGAUAGCAUUUGCAUUAAAGGGACUUUUAGUAUUGCAGAGAUAUUUUAAAUUCAAGUGCAAAGCUAACAUAGACAACAUACAUGAUUUUAAAAUCUGAGUAAUAGAUAUAGCAAAUUAACUAAACUACUACCUGCAUUAUUUUAAAAUUUUGAAAAUUUCCACCAAUAUUAGGACGUUUGCUGGCUGCCAUCUUACAAGUGGCCACAUGGGGGCAACAAAGUACCAUACAAACUGAGACUGAGCUGGUCAAGCACCCCAUUAACCCAUAAUUCACUCAUAUUUUGUCUGGUCAUUUAAAUGACUUUAAUGAACUCUGAGUAUGUUCAGGAAAAAGAAUUGAAUCAAGGUGUAGUCCACCCUUAACCUCAGCCAUCAGGAGGGCAAGGCAGGCAGAUCUCUGGGAGUUCAAGGCUAGCUACAGCUACAUAGUGAUACCUUGCCAAGAAAGAAUGAAAGAAGAGGGGAAAGGAAGAGGAGGAGGACUAUGCCCCUGCCCCACUCCUGUCCUCCUGAGGUUUCUGACAAGCCCCUAAGGUAGGCACUAUCACCAUAUCUGUUUUAGACACAGAGAUUCUGGGAAAUUAGAAAUGUUUCCUCUUCUGAAAUGGUCCCUGAAGAGGAGCUAGGGAAAAUAUAAGAGCCAGAGAUCAAGGAAGAUUGAAGCAAAAUAGUCUUCUGGAGAGGAUGGCCCGUUGCACUUAGGAAUGCACAGCAGCUGUGGUUGGCUGCACAAGAUGAAGCCAGUGAACACCCCAGCCUGGAGUUGGCGUGGUGGUUUGAAUGUGUUUGGCUAUUAGGAGGCGUGACCUUGUUGGAGUACAUGUGGCCUUUGUUGCAGGAAGUGUAUCACCAUGGAGGUGGGCAAUGAGACCCUCCUCCUAGCUGUCUGAAGUCAAUCUUCUCCUUUUUGCCUUCAAAACAAGAAGUAGAAUUCUUAGCUCCUCCAGUGCCAUGCCUGCCUGGAUGCUGCUGUGCUUCUGGCCUUGAUGAUAAUGGACCAAACUUCUGGACCUGUAAGCCGGGGCCAAUUAAAUGUUGAACUUUAUAAGAGUUGCCCUGGGCGUGGUGUGUCUUCACAGCAAUGGAAACUCAAACUAAGACGGAAGUUAAUCCCUGGGACUGGGGUGUUGCUGUGAUGGGCCUGACCAUGGUUUUGUUUGGAGGGAUGUGGAUUUGGGGGCUUUGAAUUUGGAAAGCUAUGGAAUGCUUUAAGUAGGACUUGAUGGGCCAUCCCAGUAGGAAUAUGGAAGACAUUGGUGCUGAGGGUGAUUUGAACUCUGGAGAUCUUUCUUAAUGACGUUUUGGUGAAGAAUGUUGCUGCUUUCUACCCUUGUCUGAAAAGUCGGCCUGAGGCUAAGGUAAAGAGAUUUCGGUCAAUUGCAUUGACAAAGGAAGUCUCAGAAAAGCCCAGCAUAGACUGUGUCCUCUGGUUUACUCUCAUGAAGAGAGUUUUGAUCAAGCACAGCAAGCUUAGGCAUUGAAGAAGUUGGAAACAGAAAGCUAGUGAUAAUGCAAUAGAACAAGGGGGCCAUGUUCUAGCCCCAGCAAGCAGCAGAACUCAGCAACUUUAGCCAUGUUGCUCUGGCUUUAGAGUUAAGACUAGAAGGGCCUACUGGCAUGAUUGAUGCUGCUUAGCUGGAGCUAAGAAAUUAGUGGUGAUUAAGAAGAGACCAGCAUAAUUGAAAUGAAAUAUUCUUGCAAGUAUCUUCUGAGAGCACAAAGAAGCUGUGUUCCAGAGAUAGCCAAGGUUGUACCUCAUGCUGCAGUUGGACUUGGUAAUGUGUAAGAAUCACCCAGGUAGUACUGGUUUUGAAGGCAUGAAGGGGUCAUGGAGAGCAGCUGAGGCUUGGCACUGUGAGAGGCCAGGGAAGGUCAUUGGUGAAGGUGCAGCCUCAGUUGCAGGUAACAGCCCAGGACUUAAGGGGUCAGGCAAAGGAGGAGAAUUGGCACCAUGAAGAGAGCCUUUAAGAAGUUAUGGGUGAAACCUAAUUGUAGCCUCCCUCAGCCCUGAAGCAGGCUGAUCCAGACUUUGACCUUGCUGCCACUGAGAAGAUUACCUAGGGUGGAGCCUUCCGACCUAGAUGGCUCUUUUGUUCAGUCACCUGCCACUGCUCUCUCCAAGGCACUGCUACCUGCCAAGAAUCCCCUGAGAUGUUCUGGAGGAACCUCCUAUUCUGCACUGUCGCCUACAGGCUGGCUUCAGACACCAAGAAUGGACUGGCAGGGGAUGGGCUUUCCCCUUUUAUAGGCACACUCUCUUAGUAAACUGGUGGGCCUUGAACAGAAUCAUGUCUUGGUCUCCAUUAAUCUCUCGCCGUCUAAGUCUCUUUCAGCCCCAGCCUGCCUCCCAGGUGUACCCAGUUCAAGUAGACCACAGGCUGGCAUACAACAGAUUGGUGUCUGAGCCAGGGACCUUGAGAACGGCGGGAAAGCACUCAGGGAAUCACUGUCUUGUAUGGAACUCCAAGGGGAGAAAAGAAUCAGAGAUCGAAUCGGGCAUGGUGAGCAACAGCCUGCCUCCCAAGUGUACCCCGUUCAAGUAGGCCACAGGCCGGCAUACAACACCUAGUUGCAGUAGAAUACCACAGUGAAUUGGAGGUGUCACUUCCAUGGGAUGAUCACCAAGAACAGCAGCAGCAGUGGAGUGGAGUCAACCAGAGUGCUACAGAGGGCAGAGCUGGAGAAGUGACACAACCCUUUGGAGAAGCCCAGAAGAUCCUACGUGGAUCCAAGACACUGGAAUGAGAAGCUGUAAAGUUGAAGUUGCCUCGGAUACCUCAAUAUGUUAGAGAUGUCAGAGCCAUG